UAUGUGCAGUGUGUUUUGACCUAAAUGUUAUGUAGUAAUUUAUUUCUUUUCAUAGCCACUGUAUAAGAUAGUUACUAUUUCCUCUGUUUCACAGACAAGAUUCAGUGAAGGUCAGAGAGAUCACACAAGUUGCCCGGAGUCACACAACUAGUAAACAUGGAAGUGAGCUAGCCAGGCUGGUAACAGCCACGUGGUCCUCCUACAAUAAAUUGUGGGCAUUUCACAGGAGGAUUUUCCCUAUGGAAAAAAAAGUAAAAGAUAAUAGGAAAAUCACUCCUUUGCGACUUUGGGAUGAAACAAACAACGGAGUUGUUCUCUGGUGGGAAGGUUAGCAGGCUGUCAUUGAUGCAACUCCACAGAGGGAAAGAAGGGAUGAAUCCUAGAGAUCACCUCAUCAACUUAGAUUUUGAAAAUGUGGAAACUGAGUCUGAGGAGAUUAAUCAAUUCCAUCAAAGUCAAACGCAGAGGUGUGUUGGAGCUGACACCUAUCAAUUCAUGAGAGCCAACUGUGGGCAUCUGCUCCUGACAGCAUUUUCAGUGUCGUCAAAUUGUUACCUUGAAAUUGGCUGUCGUGGAAGUAUUUACAGGAUGGAAAUUGGCAAAAUGCUAUCAUAUUUUCUUUUUCUUUCCUGA
rnacentral:lncRNA from 1 species